rnacentral:rRNA from 1 species
AUGAAGACGAGCAUGCUCCUGGGCAUUGUCACACUAGUCUCAUCAGCAACUGCUGCUUUCCUUCCGACGACGGAAGCGGCCAACGUGCUGAAGACGCAGACGUUCCUGUCCCCGCCCUUCUUCCUCCGCCCCGGCGGCGUCGCCAACAAGUGGUACUACGACGUGGACUUCCCCCGCGGCCACGUCGCGAUCAAGAGCUUCAACGGCGACGUCGUCGACGAGGCCGGCGCCCCGGUCCCUCUCCACGAGACCUACCUCCACCACUGGCUCGUGUCACCCUACUACGGCCCGAGCACGACCCCGAUCACCAACGCCGGCCCCUGCAAGGACUCGCUGGGCCAGUACUUCGGGCUGGGCUCCGAGACCCGGCGAACGGCCACGUGGGUGCCCGACCCGUACGGCAUCGAGAUCGGCAACGGCGCCCCGGCCGGGUACGAGGAGCGGUGGCUCAUCAACGUGCACGCCAUCGACACGCGCGGCGCCGCCGACAAGCUCGCCUGCACCGAGUGCAGGUGCGACGCGUACAACGUCACCGUCGACGAGGACGGCAGCCGCAUCGGGAACGGCUACGUCGGCGGGACACACUGCUGCUACGACAGCUUACGGUGCAGGGUGGAGGACGCGUUCGCCAACAAUGGCGAGCCGCCGCGGAAGCUGUUCCUCCGGUACACCGUGUCGUGGAUUGACUGGAGCGACGCCGUCGUUGUGCCGGUGAGGAUCUACAUUCUUGAUGUCACCGAUACGGCUCUGUUCGAUGGAAGCCCCAAGCCUUAUUGCAAGAUAGAGUAUCGUGUGGACGAAUGCAGCUCGGAUGACCGAGCGAGUAACAACUGCGUCGACAUGAAGACGACCAAAGAAAUGGUGUCCCAUGGAGGCGACGUCGUCUACGCCGUUGCUCACCUGCAUAGAGGUGGCCUCGGUUCCUCGUUGCACGGCCAGGACGGCCGCCUGCUCUGCAAGUCCAUGCCAAUCUACGGCACGGGGCAGGAGGCCGGGAACGAGGAGGGAUACGUCGUCGGCAUGUCGACGUGCUAUCCGGAGCCGGGUACGGUGAAGGUAAGCGACGGGGAGGUGCUGACCAUGGUCUCCAACUACAGCAGCGAGCGGCAGCAUACGGGGGUCAUGGGCCACUUCUACAUCCUUGUGGCAGAUCAUCAGGAGCAGGCUCUCAACAAACCGGCCCUUUGCUUCAGCUUCCCAUACUCAUGGUGCCUGCCAGCAUGGAUGUGGAGCAGCCAGAUGUGA